rnacentral:ncRNA from 1 species
UCUUAUCAAGAGUGGCGGAGGGAUCGGCCCCUUGAAGCCCGGCAACCCGCUUGAGCGCCCAUCCGCGCACGAGAUAUGGUGCCAAAUCCGACGAGCGUUACACGCUUGAGAGAUGAGA